GUUGGUGUUUGUGAUGACUAAGCUUUUUUCCCCAGCAGAUCGACCCUGUUGACUCUUGAUUUAAGCCAAACCUGUCUGACACGCCAAC